AGAAUAGAAAAAGAAAGAAAAGAAACAGAAUAGAAGAGACGAAACAGAGAAAGAAACAGAGAGCAAAACGGGCAGAGAAGGAAGGAAAGAAAGAAAGAAAGAAAGAAAGAAAAAGAAAAAGGGAAAUUUAAGGUUUUAAGGUUCCAAGCUCAAUUGCUAAUGUCGUGCACGAGUCAUUGUCCGAGAAAGGAAAGGGGAAUGUGGACAAGAAGUGACUCGAGAGAAAUUUCGGUUAGUAAAAAAACCAGUGUUCGAUCCAGCAUCCAAAGUAAUCCCGACCUCAGAGACAUUUUAGUGAUGUACCUUUCUGUUGAUAAUGUGGCAUGUACCUAGGUAAUGUAUAAACCUAAGUGAUGUAUAGGGAUUAGUCAUUUUGAAUGUUGUAUCUAUGAGAUUGCUAAAGAAAGAUGUGUGAGUAUGUGAUAAUGUUUGGCUUUUAAAAUGGUUAAGUAUGAAAAUCAAGAAAGGGUAAACUUUGCAAAGAAACAGAAUUCAGGCAGCAACAGUGACGUAACUUUGAAAAAUCACCUAAGAUAGUAUAAAAUGAAUUAGAGGGUGAAUGAUAUAUUAAAUUAAAUCUUGUUAAGUCUAUUUUCAUAUAAAAAUAACGGUUUAGCAAAAAGAAUUUUAUAUUUUAAGAUAUGUGAAUUUUAGUGAGACAGGGUCAGAACUGUUUUUGGAGUCCCCUGUUCUAAGUUUAGAAAAUCACUAAAAAUGGUACAAAAAUAAUUAUGAGUUGUAGUUUAUAUGUAUAGAAUACUUAUUGAGUCUAUUUUCUGUAGAAACAAGUAAUAACUUCAUAUGACAAUCCUACAAUGAGAAAUUUUAUUUUUAGUGACAAGAGGUCAGGGCAGUCAAUUGGUGAAAUAGAGCUUACUUUAACUAAUAAACUGUACUAAUUGGCUGGACCAAAAAUUAUGAAAUUUUUAUGGUAGGAAGAUAUACGAGUCUAGUUUCAGGGAAAAUUUAUGGAAUUAAAUUUCGAGUUCCGUAUCUAAAAUUAUAAGUAAUUUAGUAACUGCUGCGCGAUUGGGCAGAUUUGUUGUAAACUGUUUGAUACUUCCGGUAAUGCCUCGUAACCCUAUUCCGACGACGGUUCGGGGUUAAGGAGUGUUACACGCUGUAUAAGGAGUGACCCGCACGGUGACCCGACCCGAGGGGAGGAUCCGCAUUUUUUGUUAGUGGGUUAUUUUCGCGGGCGGUCCUUCCACAUUUUUUGAAUGUUUCAAUUCAGUCCUAUUUUCAUUAUUUUAUUUAUUUAAAAUUAGCCUGCUUAAUUUUUUGCGCAUUACAAUUUAAUUCCUGGUAUGCUGCGAAGAAGACACAUUCCAGAGGAUGGUUUAUUUUUCCAUUUGGUCCUCCCCUCUUUAGCGUGUACUCAAUCUAGUCCCUAUUCGUUUUUUAGAAUCCAUUACGUUUUUUCCUCCAAAAUUUGUUCUGUUUUCAAUAUGGUCCAAUAUUUAAUUUAAUUUGUUUUUUAAUUAUUAUUUUAUUACUCUUUAGGGUUUUAAUGUUUAAGCUUUAUAUUAAUUUAAAUUCAUCAUUAACGUGCUUAUUUUAAAUUUAUCGUGUAUUAUUUUAUAUUUUUUAUAAAUUCAAUAAAAUUUGUACACAUUUUUUGUUUUUAAUUUUAAAGUCAUUUUUUAUAUGUUUCUAUGUUUUAAAGAUUUAU